UUAAUUUGAGUUAACACGAUAUGUGUACAAUAUGGUAGAUUACGAUGAAUGCCGGUAGUUAACUUAAAAUGUGUAUCGAUUAUCAAUCGUGUGUGUGUGUACAGUCUGUAUUAAGAAAUGACUGGAUACUAUAUGAAAAUUGUUAACCAUAUUUCAAGGAUAAUCUAGCUAUAGAAAACUGUUGCGUGAUGUGUGCAAUACGAUGGUUCCUUCUCAAAGGCUGUAUAUUCGGGAUGUACAUUUUAGUCACAGGGGCAAGUGUUUUGCUGCAAACAUUAAAUGGAGAGACGACUUAUUUAAAAGGCUCAAACGUAACGCUCGUUUGCACAAUUACUCCCUAUAAUAAUGAGAUGACUUGGUAUGUGGACAAUGACCCAUAUGCUGGCUGCUUUUUAGGGACAUGCGGCCCUUCUGCGAACAAACCAUAUACAUUCACAUUCACUUUUGAUGAAACUGCAGGGGUUUUCAAACUCAUUAUAGAUUCAGUGGAUUUUUUUCACGCUGAACUUUCAUUUGUUUGCGACGAUGGAAUUGUGACAGAAACAAUUUCUUUCAAAGUGACAACAGGUAUUUUUCUUUUAUUAAUGGAUAAAAAAAAAUUUCUUGUAUUUAUUCGUAACAGAAAAUUGUGUAUAACCUAGGAAUACCUUUAAAGGAUUCCAUGUUGGCUGAAUAAAAGCGUUUUGCUAACAGUUAAAGAUCCUUAAUGUGUGUAUAUUUUCUCAACAUAAUGCAUGUUAUGUGCCAGGAACAUACACAUAUUAUUAUCAUUAGAUCAAACAAUAAAAUAGCUUGAUUGUUUGUUUAUUUAGAGGGCUAUUUCUAAUCUUUGCUAUAUUUCUGAAGUGACUUUACCAUAUCUAAUACACGAUGAGGUACAUUAGGUCCUCCUCCACCAGUUAAGCUUUAAAGUCUCCUUAUGACAUUUAAAAGUGUAGGGCUGAUUUAAAUUUCAACAAAACAAAACUCAAA